rnacentral:tRNA from 1 species
GGCUGGGUAGCUCAGUUGGUUAGAGCGCAACACUCAUAACGUUGAGGUCGAGAGUUCAAGCCUCUCCCCAGCUA